GAUUGUAGAGGAGGCACACAAAGGCUUUAUGGUAAUUUCAACAGUAAAAUACUGUAGAAUGUACAACAAAAUGCCUUAAAUGUGUUUUACAGAAUUCAUUAUGCUGCAUUGUGGGAAAGAAUCUAUGGGCGGGGAAAGAGUCUGGCGCAUGAACAUAUUUUAAGGCGUCUCUUGUAAGAGACUACUUUUGAACACUAGUGAGUGCAUGGUAUUGUUGCUUCUGACUCAUUAACAUAUUUUGAGGUGUGUCUUGUAAAAGGAUAUAUUUGUUGCACCCGUUAGUGAGAAUUCUGUACGAAUUUAACUAAUAUGUGGGAGUGGUUCCCAAAAAUGUAAUUUAUAUAGGGGACAGAUCAGAGUGGCAACAAAUCUCAAACCUUUAAUGGUUGAUCUGUUUCACCCUGACAGUUUAGAAGUCUUUGUUAAAGCAGAAAGUGAAAGGGAUAUAAACACCAAAUAUCUACACUGUAAUAUUUACUAUUAGCAAUUGUUGAGUUGAUUUAAAUACAAAUAAAAACUAAAGUACUGUAUUGCUGUUUUGCUCUAUAUUUAAUGCAGUAUAUUGUAAAUUAUGGUUCAUUUUCGGAAAAUAUUGUGGGAGGCGAAAGCAUCGCUGGCUCAUUAAGGGCUAGGUUGUUAUAGCUCUGUUUACAGGACCGUCACCAUUUAAAAUCAGGGUAGGUUGUUAUAGCUCCACCUUGUUUACAGUAACAUCACCAUUUAAAAUCUGGGGUAGGUUGUUAUAGCUCUGUUUACAGUAACAUCACCAUUUAAAGUCAGGGGAAGGUUCUUAUAGCUCCUCCUUGUUUACAGUAACAUCACCAUUUAAGAUCUGGGGUAGGUUGUUAUAGCUCUGUUUACAGUAAUAUCACCAUUUAAAAUCAGGGCUAGGUUGUUAUAGCUCUGUUUACAGUAAUAUCACCAUUUAAAAUCAGGGCUAGGUUGUUAUAGCUCUGUUUACAGUAAUAUCACCAUUUAAAAUCAGGGCUAGGUUGUUAUAGCUCUGCGCCAGGCUCACAACCUUUCACCGAAUGCCAACACAUUCUGGGCCAUCUGAUUUGUCCGGUAACGAUGGGUUGAGUCAGAGCUAGAAC
rnacentral:lncRNA from 1 species